rnacentral:rRNA from 1 species
GAUGAACGCUGGCGGCGUGCCUAAUACAUGCAAGUCGAACGCGAGAGGAGGGAGCUUGCUCCCCCUGAUCGAGUGGCGGACGGGGGAGUACCACGUAGGCCAACUGCCCACCAGCCGGGGAUAACUGCGGGAAACCGUGGCUAAUGCCGCAUAAUCCGCCCCGCCUCGGGGUGGCGAGUUGCGAGCGGGUUUGGGCUGUCGCUUAUCGCUCGGCCUGCGGCGGCUUAGAUGGUUGGCGGGGUACCGGCCCACCAAGGCAACGAUGCGUAGCCGACCUGAGAGGGUGAUCGGCCACACUGGGACUGAGACACGGCCCAGACUCCUACGGGAGGCAGCAGUAGGGAAUCUUCCGCAAUGGACGCAAGUCUGACGGAGCAACGCCGCGUGAGUGAAGAAGGGUUUCGGCUCGUAAAACUCUGUUGUUAAGGAAGAACGCCAGGUAGAGUAACUGCUACCUGUGUGACGGUACUUAACCAGAAAGCCACGGCUAACUACGUGCCAGCCGCCGCCUAAAA